CUUAGCCCUUUUGUCUCGCACAGAUAAACGACUGAAAUGCUUUUCGAAGGCACUGGUUACCGAAUCCGCAUUGCGAUAUACCCUAAAAGAUAUCCUCAGCCAGCCUGAUGCAAUACACUUAUUUGUGUCAGGUGUAUAUAGCUGCGCACUCGUAGUCAAAUAGCAUGAUCCAUAACGGAAGCCUAACCGUGUCCGUUCGCUGCAGCCUUUUAGGCCCCCCGAUUCUAUUAAGGGAUUCGAAAGCUUGUUUCAUGGUGCAACAGCAAUCUAGGCCGAUGGAUUGUGCGGACGAAAAUAUAUACAUUUUAUAUUUAUAUAAUAGCAUAACAAGUUCACACAUGUGAAAUCGAUGCUGUGUAUGCUGACUGUGAUAUGGUAUAGCAUGCUGAUGUUAUCACGUUUUGAAAGUAAUUGUUUUCUAUCUCUAGCAGUUCGUAUCCGUUUCGUUGGUCCUGCAGUGAGUGAGUGAGUGAGGCCAACCACAUGCAGCCCAAGAAUCUUCUUGUUGGCGCACAUUGCUACGAGGCGUUCGAACGUUGGACAGGGCGAACCAGAUGGUGGAAGUUAUGAUGGCGUUGUGCUUCAAAGCAGAAAGCUAUAAACAUAUGAAACGGAUGGCAAUUUUCCAAAAGCGGGCUUUCUUACGGCGCUUUGUUCCCCCAUGGAAGUGUCAUCUUUAGACCGUUCUUUCAUCGACUGCUCGGCCUUCGUGAAGCUCAAUAUAAACUUGCAGACCCAAGUCUCUUUUCAGGACCACAUGUCAACGUUAGCUUCUUCUUUUAUGCCAGAAGAAUACUGAAUGCACUAGGACAAAAGGGAUCAACUUAUUUUUUCUAUCGGAGAUAAUAAGUUGAGCGCACGGAAUUAGCUAAUUCUACAUGCCGUACUUGUUAAUGAAUUGCAGUUAAAAUUCUCCUGGACUUGGAAAUCAGAUGUUUUCUAAUUUAUUCUGAUUUAAAUUAACAUAAAUGCAAAUAUUUGCAAGGUCAUCUACAAUAUGUAACCAACACCUAAUCUACUUUCUAAAUAUAGUAUAUAGCGCUUAAACAGAGACUGACCAUUACAGAUAGGCCGGAGUCGUUCUAUGAAAUCCACCUGUUCCAAGGUGUUUGCUAUACGUAAGUUAAUUUAGCCUAAAAACAGGGCAACAGGAUCAGACCAAUAGGGCAACAGGAAACUGCAGAGGAGUUCUUGAUACGAUAUGUUGGGUAAAUAUAUAUUUAUUGGCUAUAUACUAUGUUGUUAAAAGAAAGUUUAAAAAAUAUUAUGUGCAAAACAAAUACUAAUUCAGUACAGAAUCAUAAAAGUUAACUUGUUGAAAUUACGCACAUAACGAAGGCUAUGCAAAAGACUGCCAGCAGAUAUUUUCAGCCGCCCCCAAAUCGCACUCUGCGCCUUUCUAUUUUUAAGAAAGCUGAAUUUCCUAUCAGUACAUUGUCAUAGAGAUUGAUUUAAACAGUCACAACUGGUGGAAUGCCAACUAUUAGGAAAAAAACGUUACGACUUUGAUGGUUGAUAGGGGCAACACAAUUAAUAAUAAGCCGUCUGCAAUUUUUGGGACAUUUUUAGUGUUUUUUGUUACUUCGAUUAAACUGAAUAUGAUUCUGCUAAAAAAUCAUAACAACCAAAGGAAAAACUCAAAGCUUCGGUAGAGGGUACUUGUGGUGUGGUAGCGCAUAAACUUAACUGGUAAUGAGGAACUAUUAAAGUAAGCCUAAGACAUCAUUAAUGCAGUAUUUCAGUACAAAACGGAGACAUUUUUAAUACUAUAUUAUUAUUAACUUUAUUCUAUGUAACAUGGCCUACUAACUUUGACCUGACGUAGCUUUCUCUAUUCCGAAGAAACUCUGAGGAGGUUCUUAUUUUUCGUUAAUUCUAUUUUGGGACGUUUCCUUCUGUCGUGUGCAUAUAGGUGUAGCUUAUGUAGCUUGUAGAAGUUUCUCUCCUUCGAGUAAGUCUGAGAAUUCAAGGACGUGACAUAUGUAUAACUUACGCUCAUCGAUUAAGUGCCUUUUUGCUAUUGAUCUGCUCUUGAAGUCAAGCUAUUUGAAAGCUACAACUGAAUAAUAUUUGAACAUACCGCCAAAACGUGAAGAAAUUCAAAUACUCAAUGUUCAUGUUGUUCAAUUCAGCUGUCAUUUCUAUAAUUUGUUAGUUGUUAUGUGUGGUUGUUGUCGUCACCUUGUAGCCUUAUCGGGAGAGGAACUUCGCAAUCCUAAGGGAUAGAUAACCAAAAAACCAUUUAACGACCCCCUACCAACUUUCUAUUAUGGUUAAUAUAAUAUCGAAAUGCAGGGUAAUGUAAAAUUGCGACAAAAAAAUGUACGAAGGAUUCCAAUGCCAGCUCACGUAUUACAGAUCUUG